GCGUGACACUUCCAAUAACUUAUAAAUUAUUAUACAAUUAUAAUGUUUUUGUAGAUUUAUAGACGAUUAUAAUUUUAUAGACAGCUUAUACUUAUACAAUUUUCGAACUUGUUUUCGAACUUAUUCUCAGUGUGCGGUGAAUUUGUGUGAGUUGUCACUUUUAUUGUUUACAUUGUUGAAAUCAAGACGUGCAUAACUAAAAUUUUAAAAUCGAACGCUUUUGUACUUGCGCCAUAAAAAAGAUAUCCGGAAACGAUCACAGAGGUCAAAUUGCUUAUGGGAUAGCAGAAUAUUGAACAAACCUCUCACGAGUUCUGGUGUUGAAUUUGAGCAAUAUUCCGGCCUGCCCGGCAGGAUCUGCACAACGAGCUAAUCAUAUUCCAGACAUCAAUGCCGGCAUGUUCCGGGUAGUGUAUUCAACGCCAGAGUAUGACCGGGGACGCGGGUAAUUAUAUGCUACAGCAAAUAUCCGAUCAACUGGUACUGAUUGUAAUCAACGAAGCUCACUGUGUGAGUAACUGACGGGGGACGAUUUUCGCCCGGCUUAAGGACAUCUCCGUGUAAUUCGUACGGAUUCGCAUUUUAGCAUUGAUGGCAACUGCAACUUCCAAUGUUCGUGAAGAUAUUGUGGCAAACCUUGGUUUGCGUAAUCUGCAAGUUUUGUGCACUAGGUUCGAUCGACCGAAUCGGAAGCUUUAUGUUAAAAUUAAGGGCUCCCUUGGUGUGUGGAAGGAUCUUUGAGGAUUGCUUAGCAAAAACACUGAAGGCAGCAUCAUAAUCUACUACUGACUCGGAAGGAAACGGAAGAGAUUGUGGAGCUGUUGAAGAGCAAACGAAUUGAUUGUGAGCCGUAUCAUGCGGGUCUUUUACUGAAGCAGAGGCUUUCUGUACACAAAAACUGUCCGAGGCCGCAUUCAGAUUAUUGUAGCUAUGACAGCUUUCGGAAUGGGAAUUGACAAACCGGAUGUUAGAUUGGUCAUUCACUAUGGUGCGGCGAAGGAUUUAGAAAGUUAUUAUCAGGAAGUCUGUAGAGCUGACCGGUAUGGACAACCAUCCAAGUGUAUUAUGUUUAAGAGUAGCGCUGAUUUCAAAACACAUGAGCUACUACGAGAUUAUAAUCAGGGUGUUGUUCAGAAGAAUUCAAAAGCUUUGUCGAAGAAGAUGCACGAAUAUUUGGACACAAGAGACUACAGACGGAGGUUUAUCCUAAAAUAUUUGAAGGAGACAAUGUGAAAGUCGCACCUCGCAAGCAUUGCUGUGACAACUGUGAUCGGACGGUUAGUGGAAUAAGGGAAAGUGAGCGAUAUGAAGGGAUCGACGAGAACGACAAUUUUGAUUUUAGGCACGGAACAUUUGUUGAAUGUAAUCGAAGCCUUCGGUGGUAAUUUAAGUAUUGCGCUACCGUAAAGUAAAGAACCUAAUUGUUGACAUGGUCGUUCACCAAUAUAAAUGUAAAAAAAUCUUAAUCCUCAAAAACUAGGAACCUGGAACAUACCUGAUUAUGUACACCGCAGAAGAACUACUUAUUGAGCAACAGGUGCUAUGAUUUGUUAAACGAACAUCUCGAGAUUCACGGAAGACAUUCUUUUCCAUGUAACUCCACCCGGAAGGCGAGCAUCUGUCAGCUUCGAUUGGCAAAGGUUCCUGUGAAAUUUUUUAAUGUUGAGUGCAAAUAAGUCGGUAUGAUGGCAGAGCACUCGGGUGCCAGAUAGCAACAUUUCCAGAUACAGUACAGACUGGUUUGCUAACGUGUGAGAUGUCCAACCUCAACCAGUAUGCGAAGAACAAAAGGAUAUUCAUAUUUUGUCAGCAACUGCAAAAGAGUCUUGCUUACGCUAAUAAAUCUGAAGCUCUCCGACCAAAACAUAGUGAAGAUUUCAACGGACAACAGUAUAACUUCUUUAAAAAAUCACUGUGUUGUGCCUAUGAAUCCAAAAUAUGCUGCGGUUUAGCGGAUAUGUUGGUGUACACAGGAUUAAGACUUAGUGGAUUGAAUAGUGUUUUAAAGGAGUCGAAAUAGGCUGUUUCAUUUAUUUUAUUUAAAAAUUUUCAAAUUUGUUAAACGACAAAUAUACACUCCCCAAAUGUC